GGGGAGGUAGCACAGAGGUAGUGCACAGGAUUUGCAUGCAAAAGGUCCCAGGUUCAAUCCCUGGCACCACCA
rnacentral:tRNA from 1 species